AUUGAACGCUGGCGGCAUGCCUUACACAUGCAAGUCGAACGGUAACGGGUCCUUCGGGAUGCCGACGAGUGGCGAACGGGUGAGUAAUAUAUCGGAACGUGCCCAGUAGUGGGGGAUAACUGCUCGAAAGAGCAGCUAAUACCGCAUACGACCUGAGGGUGAAAGGGGGGGAUCGCAAGGCCUCUCGCUAUUGGAGCGGCCGAUAUCAGAUUAGCUAGUUGGUGGGGUAAAGGCCUACCAAGGCAACGAUCUGUAGUUGGUCUGAGAGGACGACCAGCCACACUGGGACUGAGACACGGCCCAGACUCCUACGGGAGGCAGCAGUGGGGAAUUUUGGACAAUGGGCGCAAGCCUGAUCCAGCAAUGCCGCGUGCAGGAAGAAGGCCUUCGGGUUGUAAACUGCUUUUGUCAGGGAAGAAAUCUUCUGGGCUAAUACCCCGGGAGGAUGACGGUACCUGAAGAAUAAGCACCGGCUAACUACGUGCCAGCAGCCGCGGUAAUACGUAGGGUGCGAGCGUUAAUCGGAAUUACUGGGCGUAAAGCGUGCGCAGGCGGCUUUGCAAGACAGAUGUGAAAUCCCCGGGCUCAACCUGGGAACUGCAUUUGUGACUGCAAGGCUAGAGUACGGCAGAGGGGGAUGGAAUUCCGCGUGUAGCAGUGAAAUGCGUAGAUAUGCGGAGGAACACCAAUGGCGAAGGCAAUCCCCUGGGCCUGUACUGACGCUCAUGCACGAAAGCGUGGGGAGCAAACAGGAUUAGAUACCCUGGUAGUCCACGCCCUAAACGAUGUCAACUGGUUGUUGGACGGCUUGCUGUUCAGUAACGAAGCUAACGCAUGAAGUUGACCGCCUGGGGAGUACGGCCGCAAGGUUGAAACUCAGAGGAAUUGACGGGGACCCGCACAAGCGGUGGAUGAUGUGGUUUAAUUCGAUGCAACGCGAAAAACCUUACCUACCCUUGACAUGUCAAGAAUUCUGCAGAGAUGUGGAAGUGCUCGAAAGAGAACUUGAACACAGGUGCUGCAUGGCCGUCGUCAGCUCGUGUCGUGAGAUGUUGGGUUAAGUCCCGCAACGAGCGCAACCCUUGUCAUUAGUUGCUACGCAAGAGCACUCUAAUGAGACUGCCGGUGACAAACCGGAGGAAGGUGGGGAUGACGUCAGGUCCUCAUGGCCCUUAUGGGUAGGGCUACACACGUCAUACAAUGGCCGGUACAGAGGGCUGCCAACCCGCGAGGGGGAGCCAAUCCCAGAAAACCGGUCGUAGUCCGGAUCGUAGUCUGCAACUCGACUGCGUGAAGUCGGAAUCGCUAGUAAUCGCGGAUCAGCUUGCCGCGGUGAAUACGUUCCCGGGUCU
rnacentral:rRNA from 1 species